GCUUACGGCCAAACCACCCUGAGCACGCCCGAUCUCGUCUGAUCUCGGAAGCUAAGCAGGGUCGGGCCAGGUUAGUACUUGGAUGGGAGACCGCCUGGGAAUACCAGGUGCUGUAAGCU
rnacentral:rRNA from 1 species